rnacentral:misc_RNA from 1 species
GAUGAAGAACGCAGCAAAAUGCGAUAAGUAAUGUGAAUUGCAGAAUUCAGUGAAUCAUCGAAUCUUUGAACGCACAUUGCGCCCGCCAGUAUUCUGGCGGGCAUGCCUGUUCGAGCGUCAUUUCAACCCUCAAGCACAGCUUGGUGUUGGGACUCGCGUUAAUUCGCGUUCCUCAAAUUGAUUGGCGGUCACGUCGAGCUUCCAUAGCGUAGUAGUAAAACCCUCGUUACUGAUAAUCGUCGCGGCCACGCCGUUAAACCCCAACUUCUGAAUGUUGACCUCGGAUCAGGUAGGAAUACCCGCUGAACUUAAGCAUAUCAAUAAGCGGAGGA